rnacentral:lncRNA from 1 species
GAAUUUCAGAUCACGAAGAAAGACAGGCCUGUAAGAGCUUCAGCUGAAGAAAACACUAUUUCAUUACAAAGGAACGAGAAUCCGUCUGGCAUUAGCAACCGUGGAGGCUAGAAGACAGGGAAGCGAUGCCUUCAAAGACUAUGACCAGCCGAACUCCCAGCCAAGGGUGAAAGCAAAACAAAACAAAAAUCCAGACAGGCAGGAAUCAGAUGGUUCACCCCCAUACACGUCUUUUUAGUGGAAGUUACCUGAGACUGUACUCCAGGAAAACGAAGGCAUAUCCAAGGAAAAGAAAGACAGGCUCUGGAGACAGUGAUCUCAACGUGGGAGGACAAGAAAGAGAAGUUCUAGGAUAACAGGGAUGCGGAAGACUGGAGACGAAGCCAGGCAGCGUGGAACAGGAGAAUGGAGAUCUGGGGAGACGGGGAGCUGCACGGCCGGUGUGAUGUGGAGUCUGAAAAUGUGAAGGAGGUGAUCGAGGCAAAUGAUGCAAGAAAGCCAAAAAGUGGAGAGUGAAGAGUGUGAGGCUGACUCAUCUUUACACACCCAGACCAACCAACGGAGCGCCUGGGCACAGCAGCCACCCCUAGAUUGUCUGCACCUGCAAUGCUAUGGCCGGACAGAUGGCGUUUACUCCUGUGUGGGCUCUGGUCCUUGGCCCGUGGAAGAUGAAUCCCAAUCCCCAGAACAUUAGUGGGUGUUGGUAAAAGUACCACGGAUCACUGUGAAAGUCUGGCUGUUACUGCUCCUUUUGCUCAUCAGACGAGGUGACGAUAGCUUUGACUUCGUCUAGUCCACGGGGACUCUAGGUGGCUGCUCUAAAUACAGUACUGGUAGCUUGGAUUUCCUGUUUCCCU